AUGUCCUCUGGCGCGCAGGUGACGCCGCAGCUCAGGGGCGCGGGAGUCUUUGGCUACGCCGAAGGCACAACACCGGAGCCGGCCAAGUUCCUCACCACCAAAGAUAAGGAUGGGAAGGAAACCUCUGAGCCCAACCCUCUCCACCAUCUCUGGGUCCGGGAGGACCAGCAGGUGCUGGGCUAUCUCCUCAGCACCCUCACCAAAGAGGUCCUGCUGCAGGUGACCACGAUCACCACGGCGAGCACGCUCUGGACGACGCUCGCAGAUAUGUUCUCCUCGCAGUCUUUGAGCCGUGUCAAUAACAUACGCACGGCCCUGCUCAGCGCGCAGAAGGGCACCCAAUCGGUCGCCACCUUCUUCGCCCACAUGCGUGGCCUCGCCGAUGAGCUGGCGGCCGCCGGCAAGCCUCUGCAGGACGACGAACUCAUCAGCUACAUCCUUCACGGCCUCGACAUGGAGUACCAGCCCUUGGUUCUGCCCUCGACGUCCGCACCACCCCGGUAUCUCUCGAUGAACUCUUCUCUAUGUUGA
rnacentral:rRNA from 1 species